rnacentral:rRNA from 1 species
ACUCCUACGGGAGGCAGCAGUGGGGAAUCUUGGACAAUGGGCGCAAGCCUGAUCCAGCCAUGCCGCGUGAGUGAUGAAGGCCUUAGGGUCGUAAAAGCUCUUUCGCCAGGGAUGAUAAUGACAGUACCUGGUAAAGAAACCCCGGCUAACUCCGUGCCAGCAGCCGCGGUAAUACGGAGGGGGUUAGCGUUGUUCGGAAUUACUGGGGCGUAAAGCGCGCGUAGGCGGAUCGGAAAGUUGGGGGUGAAAUCCCGGGGGCUCAACCCCGGAACUGCCUCCAAAACUAUCGGUCUAGAGUUCGAGAGAGGUGAGUGGAAUUCCGAGUGUAGAGGUGAAAUUCGUAGAUAUUCGGAGGAACACCAGUGGCGAAGGCGGCUCACUGGCUCGAUACUGACGCUGAGGUGCGAAAGUGUGGGGAGCAAACAGGAUUAGAUACCCUGGUAGGAUAGCG